rnacentral:misc_RNA from 1 species
CAGCCGCGUAAUUCCAGCUCCAAUAGCGUAUAUUAAAGUUGUUGCAGUUAAAAAGCUCGUAGUUGAAUUUCGGGAUCAAUUAAUUGGUCGUGCCUCUGGUACGUACUGAUUUUAUUGGUUUCUCCCUUCUGACGAACCAUGAUGUCAUUAAUUUGGUGUCGUGGAGAAUCAGGACUGUUACUUUGAAAAAAUUAGAGUGUUUAAAGCAAGCUAACGCUUGAAUACAUUAGCAUGGAAUAAUGAAAUAGGACGUUUGAUCCUAUUUUGUUGGUUUCUAGGAUCGACGUAAUGAUUAAUAGGGAUAGUUGGGGGCAGUAGUAUUCAAUUGUCAGAGGUGAAAUUCUUGGAUUUAUUGAAGACUAACUACUGCGAAAGCAUUUGCCAAGGAUGUUUUCAUUAAUCAAGAACGAAAGUUAGGGGAUCGAAGACGAUCAGAUACCGUCGUAGUCUUAACCAUAAACUAUGCCGACUAGGGAUCGGAUGAUGUUAAUUUUUUAAUGACUCAUUCGGCGCCUUAUG